CCCAGGCACCGUCGCAAUGGAAUCCACCCAACCCCGCCAGGGCCGGAAGGCAGCAACGGCAAGUGGCACUUUCAUGUGUUGACGGCUCUGCCUGGAUGG
rnacentral:SRP_RNA from 1 species